UAGGCGUAAAUGAUGCGAGUUAAGUGUGGGGGCAUCUACGAGAUGGCCCUGUGCUGUAGGGUAGCCGUUAAGCUCGCUGCCUGGGGAGUACGGUCGCAAGGCUGAAACUUAAAGGAAUUGGCGGGGGAGCACCACAACGGGUGGAGCUUGCGGUUUAAUUGGAUUCAACGCCGGAAAUCUUACCGGGACCGACAGCAACAUGAAGGCCAGGCUGAAGACUUUGCCGGAUUAGCUGAGAGGUGGUGCAUGGCGUAGUCGUGU
rnacentral:rRNA from 1 species